AACGAACGCUGGCUGCAUGCCUAACACAUGCAAGUCGAACGAGACCUUCGGGUCUAGUGGCGCACGGGUGCGUAACGCGUGGGAACCUGCCCUUAGGUUCGGAAUAACUCCCCGAAAGGGGUGCUAAUACCGGAUAAUGUCUUCGGACCAAAGAUUUAUCGCCUUUGGAUGGGCCCGCGUUGGAUUAGCUAGUUGGUAGGGUAAAAGCCUACCAAGGCGACGAUCCAUAGCUGGUCUGAGAGGAUGAUCAGCCACACUGGGACUGAGACACGGCCCAGACUCCUACGGGAGGCAGCAGUGGGGAAUAUUGGACAAUGGGCGAAAGCCUGAUCCAGCAAUGCCGCGUGAGUGAUGAAGGCCUUAGGGUUGUAAAGCUCUUUUACCCGGGAUGAUAAUGACAGUACCGGGAGAAUAAGCGCCGGCUAACUCCGUG
rnacentral:rRNA from 1 species